GGCGUUGUGUCAGAUUAAUUGAGUCACUUUGAUGUAGUGGAAGAUGGGUGCGCUGCCCCGACGCUU
rnacentral:tRNA from 1 species